rnacentral:ncRNA from 12 species
UGGAGCUGGCAAUAAUACCUUUUGAGGUGCUCGAGUGUUCCCUCCGCGGAUGUGGAGACUUAAGCUCGGGAGCCCAUCUCAUUAGACGCCGCUCUA